AUGAGUAUAGGUUAAUGGUAAACUCAAUGUCUUCCACACAUUUUAUGUGAGUUCGAUUCUCACUACUCAUA
rfam:Cyberlindnera fabianii strain 65 BON22_Sc21, whole genome shotgun sequence.